ensembl:lncRNA PVT1 Pvt1 oncogene
GUACCCCUUGUGGGCAGGCACCACGGCAGCCUGCUCUGAAGGGAGCUUUCAUGUGGCCGACCAACUCUACUCCUUGACUCCUCCCUUCUCUCAUUGAAAAAAAAUGUUUAAGGGGACAUUUCUCUCUCCUAAACUUUUUAUGUUCCAUUGAAGACCUGGAAAACAUGUUAAAUAAAAAUGCUUUGCCACAGCUGACCUAUGUCUUCUGGCUUGUACCCCACAACAUCUUAUCUAAUGGAGCCAGUCUUGGUGCUCUGUGUUCACCUGGUUCAUCUGAGGAGCUGCAUCUACCCUGCCCAUGCCAUAGAUCCUGCCCUGUUUGCUUCUCCUGUUGCUGCUAGUGGACAUGAGGUAACCACAGCCUAGUUCUGUGAUAAGCUCUUCACACCUGUACCCAUAUGGACUGUGGGAGAGUUUCUCUGAUAUGGACUGUGAUGCGGAAGGACAGAAUAACGGGCUCCCAGAUUCACAAGCCCCACCAAGAGGAUCACCCCAGGAACGCUUGGAGGCUGAGGAGUUCACUGAGGCUACUGCAUCUUGAGACUCAGGAUGAAGACCCAGCUUGGGGCUGUCAAAGGUUUUUUGCAUGUCUGACACCCAUGACUCCACCUGGACCUUAUGGCUCCACCCAGAAGCAAUUCAGCCCAACAGGAGGACAGCUUCAACCCAUUACGAUUUCAUCUCUGCCCCAACCACUCAGCAGCAAGCACCUGUUACCUGUCCACCCCCACCCCUUCCCCCAAACUGCCUUUGAAAAAUCCCUAACCUAUGAGCUUUGAAUAAGAUGAGUACGAACUUCAUCGCCCACGUGGCGUGGCCGGCCUCGUGUCUAUUAAAUUCUUUUUCUACUACAA